CAGAGGUCUCAACCGUUGUUCGGAUUCAUUGGGCGUAAAGGGUGCGUAGGCGGCGGAGUAGGUCAGGUGUGAAAUCUCGGGGCUCAACCCCGAAACUGCACUUGAUACUGCUUCGCUCGAGUACUGGAGAGGAGACUGGAAUUUACGGUGUAGCAGUGAAAUGCGUAGAUAUCGUAAGGAAGACCAGUGGCGAAGGCGAGUCUCUGGACAGUUACUGACGCUGAGGCACGAAGGCCAGGGGAGCAAACGGGAUUAGAUACCCCGGUAGUCCUGGCAGUAAACGGUGCACGUUUGGUGUGGGAGGAUUCGACCCCUUCCGUGCCGGAGCUAACGCGUUAAACGUGCCGCCUGGGAAGUACGGUCGCAAGAUUAA
rnacentral:rRNA from 1 species